rnacentral:tRNA from 1 species
AUUGAAGUGCCUGAAUUUUAAGGGAUAUUUUGAUGUGAUAUAGAUGACUGUUUAUAGUCCUUCAAUA